rnacentral:rRNA from 1 species
AGAGUUUGAUCAUGGCUCAGGACGAACGCUGGCGGCGUGCUUAACACAUGCAAGUCGAGCGGAAAGGCCACUUCGGUGGUACUCGAGCGGCGAACGGGUGAGUAACACGUGAGUAAUCUGCCCCUGGCUUUGGGAUAGCCACCGGAAACGGUGAUUAAUACCGGAUACGACCACUUCUCGCAUGGGAUGGUGGUGGAAAGUUUUUCGGCCAGGGAUGUGCUCGCGGCCUAUCAGCUUGAUGGUGAGGUAAUGGCUCACCAUGGCUUCGACGGGUAGCCGGCCUGAGAGGGUGACCGGUCACACUGGGACUGAGACACGGCCCAGACUCCUACGGGAGGCAGCAGUGGGGAAUAUUGGACAAUGGGCGGAAGCCUGAUCCAGCAACGCCGCGUGAGGGAUGACGGCCUUCGGGUUGUAAACCUCUUUCAGUACCGACGAAGCGCAAGUGACGGUAGGUACAGAAGAAGCACCGGCCAACUACGUGCCAGCAGCCGCGGUAAUACGUAGGGUGCGAGCGUUGUCCGGAAUUAUUGGGCGUAAAGGGCUCGUAGGCGGUUUGUCGCGUCGGGAGUGAAAACCAGGUGCUUAACACCUGGCUUGCUUUCGAUACGGGCAGACUAGAGGUAUGCAGGGGAGAACGGAAUUCCUGGUGUAGCGGUGAAAUGCGC